rnacentral:lncRNA from 12 species
GUUUAUGUUCUCUUUCAUUAAUUUAGACAAUUAAUUUAUGUUUAUAUGCACCAGGUUGGAUGUCAUCACACAGAGGCAUAGUCACAAAUGCUAGAGAAGAUAGGUGUCUCCUCUGGUUCAUGAAGAUAAGCUUCUCCAGAGCUCUGAAGAGUGGAUAAAAAGGUGUGGCUGUACAGGAGCCAGCCCACACCUAGUGCAC